CGUCGGUUGGUCACCUGCAGUCGAGCGGAACGAUGGAGCUUGCUCCAGGCGUCGAGCGGCGGACGGGUGAGUAAUGCAUAGGAAUCUGCCCGGUAGUGGGGGAUAACCUGGGGAAACCCAGGCUAAUACCGCAUACGUCCUACGGGAGAAAGCAGGGGAUCUUCGGACCUUGCGCUAUCGGAUGAGCCUAUGUCGGAUUAGCUUGUUGGUGAGGUAAUGGCUCACCAAGGCGACGAUCCGUAGCUGGUCUGAGAGGAUGAUCAGCCACAUCGGGACUGAGACACGGCCCGAACUCCUACGGGAGGCAGCAGUGGGGAAUAUUGGACAAUGGGCGAAAGCCUGAUCCAGCCAUGCCGCGUGUGUGAAGAAGGCUUUCGGGUUGUAAAGCACUUUCAGUGAGGAAGAAGGCCUUGGGGCUAAUACCCCCGAGGAAGGACAUCACUCACAGAAGAAGCACCGGCUAACUCCGUGCCAGCAGCCGCGGUAAUACGGAGGGUGCGAGCGUUAAUCGGAAUUACUGGGCGUAAAGCGCGCGUAGGCGGCGUGAUAAGCCGGUUGUGAAAGCCCCGGGCUCAACCUGGGAACGGCAUCCGGAACUGU
rnacentral:rRNA from 1 species